GUCGGGCGGCAGCGGGUCCUUCGGGAUGCCGGCGAGCGGCGAACGGGUGAGUAAUGUAUCGGAACGUACCCAUUAGUGGGGGAUAACUACGCGAAAGCGUGGCUAAUACCGCGUACGCCCCUUUGGCGACAUUGGGGGAAAGCAGGGGACCUUUCGGGGCCUUGCGCUAUUGGAGCGGCCGAUAUCGGAUUAGUUUGUUGGUGGGGUAAUGGCCUACCAAGGCGAUGAUCCGUAGCUGGUUUGAGAGGACGACCAGCCACACUGGGACUGAGACACGGCCCAGACUCCUACGGGAGGCAGCAGUGGGGAAUUUUGGACAAUGGGGGCAACCCUGAUCCAGCCAUUUCGCGUGUGCGAUGAAGGCCUUCGGGUUGUAAAGCACUUUUGGCGGGGAAGAAACGGCGGUCUCUAACAUAGACUGUUACUGACGGUACCCGCAGAAUAAGCACCGGCUAACUACGUGCCAGCAGCCGCGGUAAUACGUAGGGUGCGAGCGUUAAUCGGAAUUACUGGGCGUAAAGGGUGCGCAGGCGGUUUGUCAAGAAAGGUGUGAAAUCCCCGUGCUCAACAUGGGAACUGCACUUUUAACUGACAGGCUAGAGUGUGUCAGA
rnacentral:rRNA from 1 species